CCGUGAAACUGCGAAUGGCUCAUUAAAUCAGUUAUCGUUUAUUUGAUAGUACCUUUACCUGGACAACUGUGGUAAUUCUAGAGCUAAUACAUGCUAAAAACCUCGACUUCGGAAGGGGUGUAUUUAUUAGAUAAAAAACCAAUGCCCUUCGGGGCUCCUUGGUGAUUCAUAAUAACUUAACGAAUCGCAUGGCCUUGCGCCGGCGAUGGUUCAUUCAAAUUUCUGCCCUAUCAACUUUCGAUGGUAAGGUUUUGGCUUACCAUGGUCUUAACGGGUAAAACAUUCCCUGUUGCCCGUGUUCGAUAUCCGUUGUGGCCUUCAGUGGCCGCAGCUACAUCAUUGGUUCAGAGGAAGCUACAGCGCCCUCGAGGCUGUGGCCGAUUCUGGAGCGACCUUUGCGGGCGCUCAAACGCAUGCCAAAUGGUGGGCCCCUCUGUCAAGGCAUGGGCUUAAAGUACAUGCUGGCUUAGCGAUCCUGCGUUAAGAAACAACGAACGGGGAAUUAGGGUUCGAUUCCGGAGAGGGAGCCUGAGAAACGGCUACCACAUCCAAGGAAGGCAGCAGGCGCGCAAAUUACCCAAUCCCGACACGGGGAGGUAGUAAGUUUAACCCCCAGCGGUCUUCACCCUUCGCAAUACUAACGUGAUUCCAGGUGACAAUAAAUACUGAUACAGGGCUCUUUUGGGUCUUGUAAUUGGAAUGAGAACAAUUUAAAUCCCUUAACGAGGAACAAUUGGAGGGCAAGUCUGGUGCCAGCAGCCGCGGUAAUUCCAGCUCCAAUAGCGUAUAUUAAAGUUGUUGCAGUUAAAAAGCUCGUAGUUGAACUUUGGGUCUGGCUGAUCUGUCCUCCUAAUCGAGCGCACGGAUUCGGUCGGACCUUUCCUUCUGGGGAACCCUAUGCCCUUCACUGGGCGUAGCGGGGAACCAG
rnacentral:rRNA from 1 species